rnacentral:lncRNA from 1 species
UGGAUCUCCCGCAACAUCCUUACUUUAUAGCGGCCAACUCCCACAGUAUAUCAUGUAUCUGCCUCUGCAAUUCUCGUACGUCAUCUCGUAAAAUAUCGACAUCCCACACUGGAUCGCCCAUAACUAGAACACGCAUAAAUUGAUAAAAAAUGCAAAAACAAAAGUAAAGAAAAGAAUCUGAAAGUAAUACAACGUAUAUUUACCCAAAAAACAAGAAAAAAACUUACUAGAGACAGGAAAAAGCAAUCAAGUUCUUGAAGAGAAAGUAGUUGAAGGUGUACUAUUAUGAAAGACAAGAGCAAGAAAUAAAUAGAUAUGUGUAG